GGUUGAUCCUGCCAGUAGUCAUAUGCUUGUCUCAAAGAUUAAGCCAUGCAAGUGUUGUACAUUGAAAAUGAACAGAGAAACUGCGAAUGGCUCAUUAUAUCAGUCAUAAUUUCUUUGAUUGUUCCUUUACUACAUGGAUAACCGUGGUAAUUCUAGAGCUAAUACAUGCAAAAAGCUCCAACUUCAGGAAGGAGUGUAUUUAUUAGAUAAAAAACCAAUGCAGGCAACUGCUUCACUUGGUGAAUCAUGAUAACUGAUCGAAUUGUAUGGCUUUCACGCCGACAAUGGUUCAU
rnacentral:rRNA from 1 species